rnacentral:rRNA from 1 species
CCUGAAGUGGGGGAUAACCAUUGGAAACGAUGGCUAAUACCGCAUAAUACCUACGGGUCAAAGAGGGGGACCUUCGGGCCUCUCGCGUCAGGAUAUGCCUAGGUGGGAUUAGCUAGUUGGUGAGGUAAUGGCUCACCAAGGCGACGAUCCCUAGCUGGUCUGAGAGGAUGAUCAGCCACACUGGAACUGAGACACGGUCCAGACUCCUACGGGAGGCAGCAGUGGGGAAUAUUGCACAAUGGGCGCAAGCCUGAUGCAGCCAUGCCGCGUGUGUGAAGAAGGCCUUCGGGUUGUAAAGCACUUUCAGUCGUGAGGAAGGUGGUAGUGUUAAUAGCACUAUCAUUUGACGUUAGCGACAGAAGAAGCACCGGCUAACUCCGUGCCAGCAGCCGCGGUAAUACGGAGGGUGCGAGCGUUAAUCGGAAUUACUGGGCGUAAAGCGCAUGCAGGUGGUUUGUUAAGUCAGAUGUGAAAGCCCGGGGCUCAACCUCGGAAUAGCAUUUGAAACUGGCAGACUAGAGUACUGUAGAGGGGGGUAGAAUUUCAGGUGUAGCGGUGAAAUGCGUAGAGAUCUGAAGGAAUACCGGUGGCGAAGGCGGCCCCCUGGACAGAUACUGACACUCAGAUGCGAAAGCGUGGGGAGCAAACAGGAUUAGAUACCCUGGUAGUCCACGCCGUAAACGAUGUCUACUUGGAGGUUGUGGCCUUGAGCCGUGGCUUUCGGAGCUAACGCGUUAAGUAGACCGCCUGGGGAGUACGGUCGCAAGAUUAAAACUCAAAUGAAUUGACGGGGGCCCGCACAAGCGGUGGAGCAUGUGGUUUAAUUCGAUGCAACGCGAAGAACCUUACCUACUCUUGACAUCCGGAGAACUUUCCAGAGAUGGAUUGGUGCCUUCGGGAACUCUGAGACAGGUGCUGCAUGGCUGUCGUCAGCUCGUGUUGUGAAAUGUUGGGUUAAGUCCCGCAACGAGCGCAACCCUUAUCCUUGUUUGCCAGCACUUCGGGUGGGAACUCCAGGGAGACUGCCGGUGAUAAACCGGAGGAAGGUGGGGACGACGU